AUGAACGCUAGCUACAGGCUUAACACAUGCAAGUCGCGGGGCAGCAUGUCGGUUGCUUGCAACCGAUGAUGGCGACCGGCGCACGGGUGAGUAACGCGUAUCCAACCUGCCCUUGUCCAUCGGAUAACCCGUCGAAAGGCGGCCUAACACGAUAUGCGGUUCUCAGCAGGCAUCUAACGAGAGCGAAAUGUGAAGGAGAAGGAUGGGGAUGCGUCUGAUUAGCUUGUUGGCGGGUAACGGCCCACCAAGGCGACGAUCAGUAGGGGUUCUGAGAGGAAGGUCCCCCACAUUGGAACUGAGACACGGUUCAAACUCCUACGGGAGGCAGCAGUGAGGAAUAUUGGUCAAUGGACGCAAGUCUGAACCAGCCAAGUAGCGUGCAGGAUGACGGCCCUAUGGGUUGUAAACUGCUUUUAUGCGGGGAUAAAGUGUGGGACGUGUCCCAUAUUGCAGGUACCGCAUGAAUAAGGACCGGCUAAUUCCGUG
rnacentral:rRNA from 1 species